rnacentral:ncRNA from 3 species
ACUUUCGAGGAGCGUUGCAACUCCCGCCCGGGAGCCAGGCUCGAAAGUCAUCCCCCGAUGCAACGGCGCUCACCCGCA